rnacentral:rRNA from 1 species
UACAUAGGUGGCAAGCGUUAUCCGGAAUUACUGGGCGUAAAGGGUGCGUAGACGGUUUGAUAAGUCUAAGGUUAAAUAUAUGAGCUUAACUCAUAUCUGCCUUAGAAACUAUGAAACUAGAGUGUGAUAGAGGAAUAUGGAAUUCCAUGUGUAGCGGUGAAAUGCGUAGAUAUAUGGAGGAACACCAAUGGCGAAGGCAAUAUUCUGGGUCACUACUGACGUUGAUGCACGAAAGCGUGGGGAGCAAAUAGG